ACUAUAUUUGUCCAGUGUUUUUCUAAUGUUGAUCAUGUUUUUGGGUUCAGGCAUAACGCCGGGGAGCAGCAAUUUGUAACUUUCGUAAUUUGUCCAUUUGCUUCUGAGCACCUAAAACUCACUUUGCUGGACAUCGAUCCUCUUCUUUAUUGGGUAAGAUGCUGGAUAUCUUUGCUUUAAAGCAGCUUACAAAUAAUUUCUCCUUGGAUACAAAUACAGGAGAGCGUGCGAUACAAACAAGUUCACCAUGGGUUUGAAUUUUUCUCUCUUGGCACAUGCCAAGCAGUGCAACGAGCUCGUGGGUUUGCAAGUCUCACGUCAAGUUUCUUCUGAGGUAGGCGACUGUCUCGUAUUGCUUCUUGUUUACCCAUAACGUUUUUUGUUUCAAACCUUCCUCAGCAGGAACCCUUUAAUCUUUCUUUUGCAGGCACAGGGACAGCAACUUAAUAAUGGUGCGCAUGUGACUGACACAAAUAAUCACCAUGUAAUUGAGCCUGUUCAUUCGAGGACUGAGGUAAGACGUGGAACUCACAAAAAAAAGAUAGAGAGAAAUUAAAAAAAAAACCAAAAGAAAAAACACA
rnacentral:lncRNA from 1 species